rnacentral:lncRNA from 1 species
CACGUACCCCCUUAAUCCCCCCAAACACACACACACGCCCCAACAACGAGAAACCGCCUCCAGCUCACGAUCGUUGGGCGGGCUUCAAGGUUUUCAAGGUUUUCUAAACACUAUUGGCCUGAGUGACUGACAAUCACACAGUUCAAAAGAAAGGAUUGGUCCAAAGGGUCCAAAGGGUAGCGGUGAGGUUUGCGCAGCCCUGCCCUUGCACAAUUAUUAUUGGCUGAUACAGUCUCAGUCAGCAUGCAAUGCGAUGGGAUUGGUAACAAUUCGAUACGUUCCGUCGCCCGACCAGGGGGAGCUUUAUUCGUCUGAUUAGCUGCCAGUCAUAACCAAAUGCCAGAAGCAAUUGGUUCGGGACAACACAGGCCUCGCCUACCAUAAGCCCCCUUUCUUUCCUUCACUUCCCCUUUCAGAGAAUGUCCGGAUUCCUAUUGGACUUUGGAGCGCAGGGCUCCAAAGCACUUGAUUGGCUGGAACCCGAUGGAAAAUGGUGGUUAGGUAAAAUGCGCGUGCGCAGCAGGCGGCGGGAAGGGGUGGGCCAAUCCUGUGAGGGUUAAGCCUUCUCUGGUUCCACCCCUUCACCUCUGCCUUGUAGCCAUGGUGACUGCUCUACGAUUGGCGGGGUUUGGGGUUCAAAGGCCUUGGCUCGGCCUCAUCCGGGUCCUCCGGCUGUGGUCUCUCUAGGCUGAUUGGGCAGUUUCUUUCACCCCUGAUUGGCCGAGACCGGAAAAGACGGCGAAGAGCUCGUCAAGAGACCAAAUACUAGGGUCGCAGGGUUCAAAAUGGCUCCGGUCUCCUUCGCUGACGUAGAGAGCAGAACUUGGGUUCGCCCCUCCCUUUCAGUGAAGAAGGGAGCAGAACUGGGAUCAGCUCGACAUUUGGAUGGUGCGAGCAUCGAUCUGCGGCGCUGGUGUUAACCCAUCUCCCUCGGCUGGAGGAGUCAGCCCGCUCCUCCUUAGGAAGAGGAGAGCUGAUGAAGAAGGAAUGGGCCAAGCAAGGGACACACAAGCCAUGUGUGCUGAAAGGGAGUUGGAAGAAAAAAAGAUGCAGCUGGAGCCAGAGAAGGCCAGAGACGGAGGCAAGAGCCCAACCCAGCUCUCGCGGGGCGGAGCUACCAAGAGGAGACUGGUCGCUGCGGG